CCGUGGCGCGGGAGCCGGUGUGGGCGGCUCCGUCGCUGCGCCGUCUCCCGGGACGUCGGACGCCCUCGGUGUAUCACCCCUGCUUCCAAGGUCACUAUCUCUGUGGCACAGAAAAUGUUGAGCUAAGUCUUAUCAGUAUUUCAUGUGCUUUUCCACGUUAUGAAAAACGGGGUCAUUACACAAGAAUUCUGAGCAUAUUCAUGUUCUCCUUUCCAACGUUUUCCAUGCCCUGGCAACGUAAGAUAUAGUGAUAUUUGUAAGGCACCGGAGAAGACCCCGUAACUGGAGGCAGCUGCCU